UCCCUCCCUCCUCCGCCUCCUCCUGCUCCUCCUCCUCCUCUUCCCCGCGAGUUGAGCGCACAGUACAGCUAGUCGGUGCAGGCGGCGCAGCCCCGCCGGCCGAUCGCCCUUUCCCGGUGCCGGUCCAGGGGCCGGUCCAGGUGCCGGUCCCGCUCCCCCGCCACCCCCUGUCGCCGCCGCCCCCGCAGCCAGGAUGCCGGCGGGCGGCGCGGCCGGGCUAUGAGCCACCGCUGGCCCGGAGCUACGCCGCCUCUCCGGCAGCCCACGGCAGGAAGACCGCGCUGCGGGUCACCUUGCAGGGAGGAAAAUGGGAGCCACUGCCCCAGUGUGAACUGUCUCUAAGGUACAACAAAA